GAUUUUACUGGGAACCAAAGUGUCCGGAUUAACGAGGCUCCACUGUAGUCAAAUACCCAUUACUAAAAAAUAGUUCCUCAGUUGUAACAGUUUAUAUGAAUUUGUUUUUGUUUUACCUUGAACUACUGUUGUUCUUUUGUUGUCAACUAGUGACAUUGACUUGAUGUGAGAAACAUCACUUAACCACAUACUCCCACAAAUCUUGCAGACACUUGUAUGAGGCUCCACAAGUACUCCGGAUGGAAUUCUUUCCAAUACUGGUUUAGAAUACACAGCCAUCAAUUCAGCUUCAAACUUAAAGGGAAUACCUUUCCAAGACAAGAUUUUGAUCCAUGAGCUGGAGGAAGAAGUUGGUUUAGGCUGCAUACUAGUCAAUGCUUGGUAUGGGGAAGAAAGAGGGGGAAGAGUCUUUUUCAAAUAUUGUAAAGAACAGUAGGGCUAAACUUAUUCAGGAUUAAGAAACUCACCAUCAUAUGACAUAUCAACGCUGCCAGACAAUCCGUUAAUAAAGGAUGACCGAGAGAUGUUGCAUGAACAACUCCAUGACCAACGAAAGCUACCCUGAAAGGACUUGGAACCUCUUUCAACAAAAACAAAUGUGUUUACCUGGAACAAGAAAUGGAAAAUAGAAUGCAGUCUUUUUUUGCAUCAUUUUCAUUCAUUACAAUUUUAUAGGAAAUACAUGUAAUACCUGCAGUAAUAUAUAAAUUUAUAAUCAUUUAUCACUAUAACACUAAAGGUCCUUAAUUGGUUCCUUAUCAUUGUUAAUGGGGGUGUGCUAAUAAAAUAUUUAUCUUAUAUUCUUACAAAAAAGCACAUUUCCAUCCAUUGGGCAUUUCAUUAACCUGGGACAGAUUUGCCAUAAAAAGUGUUCAAUAUCCUAUAACAAUUUGGGCAUUUUGACAUGAAACCAUGAAAAUGACUAGGAGUAAAUGUAAAAAAAAAAAUUUAAAGUAACUUGAAAUACUUACAUGUAAAUGAUUUUAAGUUUGGUUGAAUUUUGUAUUUGCUUGUACAUAUCUUUAAAUUUUGUCUGUUUCAAAGAGCUUGUGUACCUCAAGUUUUUUAUCUUCUUGUGCAAAUUCUCUCAAUACAAAUUUAUUGAAAUAGCUGCCAAUAGGGGUAAAUCCUUUGUAUAUCAGCAGCUGCUGCAUGUAGCUUUGAAGUGGUGUUGAA